AACGACUCUCGGCAACGGAUAUCUUGGCUCUCGCAUCGAUGAAGAACGCAGCAAAAUGCGAUACUUGGUGUGAAUUGCAGAAUCCCGUGAAUCAUCGAGUUUUUGAACGCAAGUUGCGCCCGAAGCCUUUUGGCCGAGGGCACGUCUGCCUGGGUGUCACGC
rnacentral:rRNA from 61 species